AGAGUUUGAUCCUGGCUCAGGACGAACGCUGGCGGCGUGCCUAACACAUGCAAGUCGAACGAAGUAUGUUUUUCGGAAUGUACUUAGUGGCGGACGGGUGAGUAACGCGUGAAUAAUCUGCCCCAUACAGGGGGAUAGCCUCGGGAAACCGGGAUUAAAACCGCAUGAUGCUUUUUUAUCGCAUGGUAGAGAAGUCAAAUCGAAUAAGAGGUAUGGGAUGAGUUCGCGUCUGAUUAGCUGGUUGGCGGGGUAAGAGCCCACCAAGGCGACGAUCAGUAGCCGGCCUGAGAGGGUGACCGGCCACACUGGAACUGAGACACGGUCCAGACUCCUACGGGAGGCAGCAGUGGGGAAUAUUGCACAAUGGAGGGAACUCUGAUGCAGCGAUGCCGCGUGAGUGAAGAAGGUCUUCGGAUCGUAAAACUCUGUCCUUGGUGACGAAGAAAAUGACGGUAGCCAAGGAGGAAGCCCCGGCUAACUACGUGCCAGCAGCCGCGGUAAU
rnacentral:rRNA from 1 species